UAGGGAAUAUUGCAAAAUGGGCGAAAGCCCGAUGCAGCAACGCCGCGUGGGCGAUGAAGGCCUUCGGGUCGUAAAGCCCUUUUUGAGGGGAUGAGGAAGGACAGUACCCUCAGAAUAAGCCUCGGCUAACUACGUGCCAGCAGCCGCGGUAAAACGUAGGAGGCGAGCGUUAUCCGGAUUUACUGGGCGUAAAGCGCGUGCAGGCGGAUUGGAGAGUUGGAUGUGAAAGCUCCCGGCUUAACUGGGAGAGGUCGUUCAAUACUUCCAGUCUUGAGUGCAGUAGAGGGAAGUGGAAUUCCGGGUGUAGCGGUGAAAUGCGUAGAUAUCCGGAGGAACACCAGUGGCGAAAGCGGCUUCCUGGACUGUAACUGACGCUCAGACGCGAAAGCUAGGGUAGCAAACG
rnacentral:rRNA from 1 species